CAUUACACAAAUAUGAAGGCGGGCUGGAACCUCUCGGGGUUACAGCCUUGCUGAAUUAUUCACCCUUGUCUUUUGCGUACUUCUUGUUUCCUUGGUGGGUUCGCCCACCACUAGGACAACCAUAAACCUUUUGUAAUUGCAAUCAGCGUCAGUAACAAAUUAAUAAUUACAACUUUCAACAACGGAUCUCUUGGUUCUGGCAUCGAUGAAGAACGCAGCGAAAUGCGAUAAGUAGUGUGAAUUGCAGAAUUCAGUGAAUCAUCGAAUCUUUGAACGCACAUUGCGCCCUUUGGUAUUCCAAAGGGCAUGCCUGUUCGAGCGUCAUUUGUACCCUCAAGCUUUGCUUGGUGUUGGGCGUCUUGUCUCUAGCUUUGCUGGAGACUCGCCUUAAAGUAAUUGGCAGCCGGCCUACUGGUUUCGGAGCGCAGCACAAGUCGCACUCUCUAUCAGCAAAGGUCUAGCAUCCAUUAAGCCUUUUUUUCAACUUUUGACCUCGGAUCAGGUAGGGAUACCCGCUGAACUUAAGCAUAUCAAUAAGCGGAGGAAAAAAAAA
rnacentral:misc_RNA from 1 species